GCGGGGCCCAUCCCGUAAGGCUAAAUACUCCCGAGAGACCGAUAGUGAACCAGUACCGUGAGGGAAAGGUGAAAAGAACCUCGAACAGAGGAGUGCAAUAGACCCUGAACCCGUCUGCCUACAAGCGGUAGGAGCGCCAUUAAGGUGUGACUGCGUGCCUUUUGCAUAAUGAACCUACGAGUUACUGUUUGUGGCAAGGUUAAUUGUUAUAAUCAAGACAAGGAGCCGAAGCGAAAGCGAGUCUUAAAAGGGCGCCCAUUUAGUCACGAGCAGUAGACGCGAAACCAAGUGAUCUACCCUUGGUCAGGUUGAAGGUUAGGUAACACUAACUGGAGGACCGAAUCGGUAAGCGUUGAAAAGCUUUCGAAUGAACUGAGGGUAGGGGUGAAAGGCUAAUCAAACUUGGAGAUAGCUCGUACUCCCCGAAAUGCAUUUAGGUGCAGCCUGUUGGAUGUUAUCAUGAGGUAGAGCGACUGAUUGGAUGCGAGGGUUUCACCGCCUAUCAAGUCCAGAUAAACUCCGAAUGCAUGAUAAUUGACCGAUGGAGUGAGGGCAUGGGUGCUAAGGUCCAUGUCCGAGAGGAGAAGAAUCCGGACCACCGGCUAAGGUCCCGAAAUAAUUGCUAAGUUGUAAAAACGAAGUCAAGAUGCAGAGACAGCUAGGAUGUUGGCUUGGAAGCAGCCAUUCAUUUAAAGAGUGCGUAACAGCUCACUAGUCGAGGAUUUUGGCAUGGAUAAUACACGGGCAUAAGCAAUUUACCGAAGCCGUGGGAUAUAAUAUAUCGGUAGGGGAGCAUUCCAGCGACGUAGAAGGGAAAAGGGCGACUUUUUCUGGAGUUUCUGGAAAAGCAAAUGUAGGUAUAAGUAACGAUAAAGGGGGCGAGAACCCCCCUCGCCGAAAGACCAAGGAUUCCUGAUCAACGCUAAUCGGAUCAGGGUUAGUCGGGGCCUAAGGAUAAGCCGAAUGGCGAUUCCGAUGGACGAACCGGUUAAUAUUCCGGUACUGAUACAGAGAGCGAUGUGGUGACGGAGAAGUGACAGUCCGGCCGUCUGACGGAAUAGGCGGUUAAAGGGUGUAGAUGUUGAUCGGGGUAGGCAAAUCCGCCCUGAGAGUCGAACCUGAUAGUACCCGGAGUACAAGUACGAAGGGAUAAGGACGUAAACCGGCUCCCAAGAAAACCCGCUAAGCAUAUUUCUGUGUUACCCGUACCGUAAACCGACACAGGUGGUUGGGUUGAGUAUACUAAGGCGCUCGAGAGAUUCGCGGUUAAGGAACUAGGCAAAAUGGUCCUGUAACUUCGGGAGAAAGGACGCCUGUCUCCGGACAGGCCGCAGAAACCAGGCCCAGGCGACUGUUUAACAAAAACACAAGGCUAUGCAAAAAAGCAAUUUGAGGUAUAUAGUCUGACACCUGCCCGGUGCUGGAAGGUUAAGAGGAGGAGUCAUCGUCAAGAGAAGCUCUGAAUUGAAGCCCCAGUAAACGGCGGCCGUAACUAUAACGGUCCUAAGGUAGCGAAAUUCCUUGUCGGGUAAGUUCCG
rnacentral:rRNA from 1 species